rfam:TPA: Bos taurus chromosome 6, whole genome shotgun sequence.
GGCUCCGGCCCUCUCAGCCUGAAGGCGCCCGAUCUCGUCUGAUCUCGGAAGCUAAGCACGGUCGGGCCUGGUUAGGAUCUUGGAUGGGAGACCACCUGGGAAUCCCGGGUGCUCGAGGCU